rnacentral:rRNA from 1 species
UACGUAGGGGGCUAGCGUUGUCCGGAUUUAUUGGGCGUAAAGAGCGUGUAGGCGGCCAGGUAGGUCUGGUGUGAAAACUCGAGGCUUAACCUCGAGAUGUCAUCGGAAACCAUCUGGCUAGAGUCCGGAAGAGGAGAGUGGAAUUCCUGGUGUAGCGGUGAAAUGCGCAGAUAUCAGGAGGAACACCGAUGGCGAAAGGCAGGUCUCUGGGCCGAUGAACUGACGCUGAGAAGCGAAAGACAUGGGGAGCGAACAGGAUUAGAA